GGAUGCAUCCAAUCCAGGAUUUGGCUUCGGAUUCGCCCAAUAUUGGGCUUUUUGAAGGGGUUUGGUUUCUGCCAAACCAUAGAAUUAUGUACCAC